rnacentral:misc_RNA from 1 species
GAUGAAGAACGCAGCGAAAUGCGAUAAGUAGUGUGAAUUGCAGAAUUCAGUGAAUCAUCGAAUCUUUGAACGCACAUUGCGCCCCUUGGUAUUCCAUGGGGCAUGCCUGUUCGAGCGUCAUUUGUACCCUCCAGCCCUGCUGGGUAUUGGGCGUUUUGUUCCGCUACGCGCGUGAACUCGCCUCAAAUGCAUUGGCAGCCCGCCGUCCCGUGUGGGAGCGCAGCACAUUUUGCGCUCUCCGCUGCUGACGGUGGCAUCCACAAGUCUACCAUUUUACGCUUGACCUCGGAUCAGGUAGGGAUACCCGCUGAACUUAAGCAUAUCAAUAAGCGGAGGA